rnacentral:lncRNA from 13 species
UUGUUCGGAGGGGAUGGUUGCUGUGCCUUAUCCCGACUUUAAUAUCUACAGAUUAUAACAGUAAGCAGGGACACCUGUGGCCUCUAUCCACUCAGAGCCUAAACAUGAAUUAACUACUGUCAUUUAUUAAUGAGCCAUGGCUAGGUUGGCUCCCAUGUGGCUGUCCUUCUCCUGUAGACCAGCAGGGGGGGGCUGUUUAUCCUCAGGGGCUAAACUGAUAUUUAAUCAAGCUUGACAGUUGUAGAAUUUUCAUCCAGUGUACCAGUCCAUGAGAAGUUGACUUCCUAUCUGAAGUGUUACUGUGAUGGGAGUGUCCAGGGACUCUUAACAGGUGUUUACUCUGUCUGCCUCGGGAGGUUUGCAUGGAUAUUAAGCUUAUGAUUGGUCAGUGAUUGAGUUCUUAGUCUGUGAAGAAUAAUCUGGUUGACAUUUUGAUUGUGAUCACCAUUACCUCUUGACUUCUGAUGGGAACUGCAAUUACACUUGCGCCUUAACAGUUUUUCCCUGUCAUCUCAACUUCCCCCUCUGGGCUUUUUGACUACUNNCCCCCUUUGCCGUGUACAUACUUUAAAGCUUGAACAUUUCCUCGGAGUCCUGAACUCUUGUUUUCUCAAUCAUAUCUUUGGCUUCUGGUCUGUUUUUAAGAUUGAAACUGCUGCUCAAUACUUAGUGUAUAUUUUAGUGACCAUUAUCAAGUGCAGCCACAUGGCAGAUUUCCCCAUGUUCUGUAUAGACCCAGAUGUGCUGCUGUAUGACAUGAAUACAAGAAGCUCAUCUCUUCUGUCAUCUGUACUGCCAUAUGUCUGUUUUGGAGCAAGUAAAUGUUAUUUAAUUCAUCUUUUUGUGGUCAAUUCAUUUCCAUGGUCAAUACGCUGGCUGUGUUAGACAGCAGUUACAUUUUGAUGCUGUUAACUCAGGACAACACUGACUUGCAAAGUUUGGUUGGCAAUGUUGUCAUGGAUGCAGCCACCACACCUGAGACUCCCUGCCUCCUCUCAUAAGUGAGGAACACAGAUCAAACGUAUAAGUACAUUAUUGUUACUCUUAUGGCUCUCUACAGUCCCCCUUUGGGUUGUUCAUGUUAUUUAUAACAAUACCUCCAUAAACCUUAACUGUCAAAUGAAUACAUUUGGAGUCCUGUACUCAUGCAAAUGGGUUAUAAUAACUGGCCAAAAGCAACCCUAUAAUACCAAUUAGUUGGCAUGCAAACUAGCACUCAUUUUUGGUUGUAGGUCUGCAUAAGGACUGCGUUUUAAUAGACUUUCGUAAACCACAAAUUCUGCUAUUCAUCAACUGAAAUUUUCAUUGGCUGCCUUUGAAACCAUUGUCGAAGUGAAUCAAAGAUCCAAUAGAUGGCUUCAGAAUACAGAUACAAACUGACCAAGUAUGGCUUCUGCUGUUAGGAGAGAGGAUAGUUGUUUGUCUUGUUUCUGGGUCUGUUAUGCUUUAUGGCCCAAGGCACCUCUCGCACAUGCACAAUACAGUCCCAGAGUUAGACAUGGAAAAUAUGUUAGUCUACUUUAGACUCGGUGAACGUGGUGCUGGCAAUUGAUACUGGCUGACACAGCUUGACUCCAAAUCCAUGGCCAUUUGUGGCGAGGAUAAAUGUCAAUAUGAUGAAAUGGAGAGAAAUUCCAAUGGAGAGACUGACAUGACUGAAAAUGUUAACUCUCUUAGAGGGAGAACUGGACAAAACUGAGUAGUCAGUGGUUAAUAGGAGGGGAAGUUGACUGGUGUUUAGGGUACAUGGUUGUGUUUAGGGUACAUGGUUGUGUUCAGUAGGGUGAAAAUAUUUCGAAAUUGACAUAUACCUGCACAAAAAUAUAUACAAAAUAAAGUUUUGUUUCCUUGCAUCUUAUAGCUGAAAAGGCACUGAUGAGGUUCAGGGCACCAGCACUGGGAUUUUUGUGGAAACCGUUGAGUUCGGGCACACCGUGGUCAAAUGUUUUACUGUUGGUGCCCUUCACCCCCUCAGCUCCUCUACUGUAAGAAACGAGGGGACUGAAGAGGCCAGUCCUCCAUCCUGUAAUCAGGCUACAAGGUGACUUUGGUUGGCUGUUACUCUCUCCUGGUCACAACCGCUAGAAGCAGCAGUG